rnacentral:rRNA from 1 species
AAUGGGCGAAAGCCUGACGGAGCAAUACCGCGUGAGGGAAGAAGGCUCUUGGGUUGUAAACCUCUUUUCUCAGGGAAUAAAAAAAUGAAGGUACCUGAGGAAUAAGCAUCGGCUAACUCCGUGCCAGCAGCCGCGGUAAUACGGAGGAUGCAAGCGUUAUCCGGAAUGAUUGGGCGUAAAGCGUCCGCAGGUGGUACAACAAGUCUAGUGUCAAAGACCGGGGCUCAACCCCGGAAAGGCGGUGGAAACUGUUGAACUAGAGGGCCGUAGGGGUAGAGGGAAUUCCCAGUGUAGCGGUGAAAUGCGUAGAGAUUGGGAAGAACAUCGGUGGCGAAGGCGCUCUACUGGACGGCAACUGACACUCAGGGACGAAAGCUAGGGGAGCGAAUGGGAUUAGAUACCCC